AUUGAACGCUGGCGGCAUGCCUUACACAUGCAAGUCGAACGGUAACGCGGGGCAACCUGGCGACGAGUGGCGAACGGGUGAGUAACGCAUCGGAACGUGCCCAGUAGUGGGGGAUAGCCCGGCGAAAGCCGGAUUAAUACCGCAUACGACCUACGGGUGAAAGGGGGGGAUCGCAAGACCUCUCGCUAUUGGAGCGGCCGAUGUCAGAUUAGGUAGUUGGUGGGGUAAAGGCCUACCAAGCCUGCGAUCUGUAGCUGGUCUGAGAGGACGACCAGCCACACUGGGACUGAGACACGGCCCAGACUCCUACGGGAGGCAGCAGUGGGGAAUUUUGGACAAUGGGCGCAAGCCUGAUCCAGCCAUGCCGCGUGCGGGAAGAAGGCCUUCGGGUUAUAAACCGCUUUUGUCAGGGAAGAAAAGCCUUGGGUUAAUACCCUGGGGUGAUGACGGUACCUGAAGAAUAAGCACCGGCUAACUACGUGCCAGCAGCCGCGGUAA
rnacentral:rRNA from 1 species